UACGAAGGGUGCAAGCGUUACUCGGAAUUACUGGGCGUAAAGCGUGCGUAGGUGGUUUGUUAAGUCUGUUGUGAAAGCCCCGGGCUCAACCUGGGAAUGGCAAUGGAUACUGGCAAGCUAGAGUGCGGUAGAGGGUAGUGGAAGUUCCCGGUGUAGCGGUGAAAUGCGUAGAGAUGUGGAGGAACACCAAUGGCGAAGGCAGCCCCCUGGGAUGACACUGACGCUCAUGCACGAAAGCGUGGGGAGCAAACAGG
rnacentral:rRNA from 1 species